rnacentral:rRNA from 1 species
CACGUAGGGCGCGAGCGUUGUCCGGAAUUAUUGGGCGUAAAGAGCUCGUAGGCGGCCUGUUGCGUCCGCUGUGAAAGCCCGGGGCUUAACCCCGGGUCUGCAGUGGAUACGGGCAGGCUAGAGGUAGGUAGGGGAGAAUGGAAUUCCCGGUGUAGCGGUGAAAUGCGCAGAUAUCAGGAAGAACACCCGUGGCGAAGGCGGCUCUCUGGGACGGUACUGACGCUGAGACGCGAAAGCGUGGGGAGCGAACAGG